CUGUUCACAGUAAUCUGCUGCUGCCGCGGAGAAUCUCGGGAAAAUAAAUUAACGGCUAUUUUUUAAGUUCUCGCGCGUAUUUUUUUCGAGUUGACCGUUGAGCGCCACAGCUCAACAGUCAACGGCUCAACAGCUCACUCUGGCAGCAGCAGCAGCAUCACCGUUGUUCUCCAGCGUAACUUGAGGAGAGACAGCAGCAGUUUGGAUACACACUUUUUAUUUUCACCACCGCCAGUUCCAUUUUGAUCGUCAGACCAGACGAAGGGAAACUCCAGUGGUUACAUUACGUUACUUCAUGGUGUCAGACACAGCGGCGACUGUGAAGACAUCCCUCACCCUUCCUGAUAGCCCUCGGUUGAUCGCUCUAGGUCCAAUGAUUUCCGACCAGCGCUGGAUGGUAAGCAUCGAGGGUCAGGUCGUGUGUGAAGAGGCAUUGUUUGCGUUGGGGCUUGCUGUUGUCUUAACAUCCUACUACAACUUCAACCUCCAAUAUCAGGAUCACGCUGCCUGCACACUUGAAUUCAUACAGAGAAGCUGUGUCGGGAUCAACCCAGAGAGAGGGACAAAGGCACGACAGGGAAAGGUGACCAGCAAGAAGAGCGGGAAAAUGGUCCAUAAGAAAGUGACAUCCCUGAAUCCUCAUGUUUGCACCCUCCUGCGGGAGCUCAUGGAUUUCGAGUGGGACUUUGUGAGUUUAACAAUCACAUUCCUGACUCUGUCUGUAGAGUUAAAAUGCACACACACAAACCCUCCAUAUCUCACUCAAUUACUGACAAUCCCUUUAUGUCUGUCUCACUCAUUCACAAUGUUAUUUUUAUUUAAUUUUGUUUAAAAUGUU